rnacentral:lncRNA from 1 species
CUGCAUCUUUCUUAAGGGCUGCUAAGAUGGAAUCGGCAAACUGAACUUCCUUUAUUCUCUGGAUCAACUCAGGUUCAACAAUAAGGUAGGCCAAACAUAUGAUUCUCUUCAGGUCCUCAAGUCGUAUAUGUUGUGCGCCCCUAUUAUCCUGCAUUAUGAAACCAUCAAGUGAGAUAAUACAUCUGCACUUUUUCUGCUGAGUGUGAUAU